rnacentral:rRNA from 1 species
CACGUGUAGCAGUGAAAUGCGUAGAGAUGUGGAGGAAUACCGAUGGCGAAGGCAGCCUCCUGGGAUAACACUGACGUUCAUGCCCGAAAGCGUGGGUAGCAAACAGGAUUAGAUACCCUGGUAGUNCACGCCCUAAACGAUGUCGAUUAGCUGUUGGGCAGCAUGACUGCUUAGUAGCGAAGCUAACGCGUGAAAUCGACCGCCUGGGGAGUACGGUCGCAAGAUUAAAACUCAAAGGAAUUGACGGGGACCCGCACAAGCGGUGGAUGAUGUGGAUUAAUUCGAUGCAACGCGAAGAACCUUACCUGGUCUUGACAUGUGCGGAACCCUCCAGAGACGGAGGGGUGCCUUCGGGAGCCGUAACACAGGUGCUGCAUGGCUGUCGUCAGCUCGUGUCGUGAGAUGUUGGGUUAAGUCCCGCAACGAGCGCAACCCUUGUCAUUAGUUGCCAUCAUUAAGUUGGGCACUCUAAUGAGACUGCCGGUGACAAGCCGGAGGAAGGUGGGGAUGACGUCAAGUCCUCAUGGCCCUUAUGACCAGGGCUUCACACGUCAUACAAUGGUCGGUACAGAGGGUAGCCAAGCCGCGAGGUGGAGCCAAUCUCACAAAACCGAUCGUAGUCCGGAUUGCACUCUGCAACUCGAGUGCAUGAAGUCGGAAUCGCUAGUAAUCGCAGGUCAGCAUACUGCGGUGAAUACGUUCCCGGGUCUUGUACA